ACAAUGGCAUAUACAAUGAGACGCAAUACCGCGAGGUGGAGCAAAUCUAUAAAAUAUGUCCCAGUUCGGAUUGUUCUCUGCAACUCGAGAGCAUGAAGCCGGAAUCGCUAGUAAUCGCAAAUCAGCCAUGUUGCGGUGAAUACGUUCCCGGGUCUUGUACUCACCGCCCGUCACACCAUGGGAGUUGAUUUCACUCGAAGUGGAAAUACUAAACUAGUUAUCCCCCACAGUGGAAUCAGCGACUGGGGUGAAGUCGUAACAAGGUAACCGUAGGAGAACCUGCGGUUGGAUCACCUCCUUUCUA
rnacentral:rRNA from 1 species